CGUCAUGGCGUGCUGGAAUCGACAGCCGUGAGUGAGGACAACCCAGGUGUGUCUUUCCACUGCAAGACCCUGAAUCCCCCAGCUCCGUUUCUGAAAAUGCCAGCUCAGAGGAGACAGGGAAAGGAAACAUGGGCAAUGAAAACAGGCGUCUCCCCAGAGCGGCCACGGCUUUGGAAAACACAGCUUGAGGGAACGUGCGGGGUGACCUCCUGGUGUCAAUGCUCACAGCAACCUUGAAUGCAGUGGAAGAGCCUCAAAGCAUGAGUAUCUGGAUCCCUGGGUGACUGUGUGGAUCUUCCAGUUGACUGGACUUUAUAUGAGCGACAAAUAAACUCCUAUUAUAUGAA